rnacentral:rRNA from 1 species
GACGAACGCUGGCGGCGUGCUUAACACAUGCAAGUCGAACGGAAAGGCCCUGCUUUUGUGGGGUGCUCGAGUGGCGAACGGGUGAGUAACACGUGAGUAACCUGCCCUUGACUUUGGGAUAACUUCAGGAAACUGGGGCUAAUACCGGAUAGGAGCUCCUGCUGCAUGGUGGGGGUUGGACAGUUUCGGCGGUUGGGGAUGGACUCGCGGCUUAUCAGCUUGUUGGUGGGGUAGUGGCUUACCAAGGCUUUGACGGGUAGCCGGCCUGAGAGGGUGACCGGCCACAUUGGGACUGAGAUACGGCCCAGACUCCUACGGGAGGCAGCAGUGGGGAAUAUUGCACAAUGGGCGGAAGCCUGAUGCAGCAACGCCGCGUGCGGGAUGACGGCCUUCGGGUUGUAAACCGCUUUCGCCUGUGACGAAGCGUGAGUGGCGGUAAUGGGUAAAGAAGCACCGGCUAACUACGUG